rnacentral:rRNA from 1 species
GUCGAACGAUGAAGCAUUCUUCGGAAUGUGGAAGAGUGGCGAACGGGUGAGGAACACGUAAGAAUCUGCCCCUCGGUCGGGGACAACUCUUGGAAACGAGAGCUAAUACCCGAUACGCUGUGGAGUGAAAGAAUUUCGCCGAGGGAUGAUCUUGCGUCUGAUUAGCUAGUUGGUACGGUAAUGGCGUACCAAGGCGACGAUCAGUAGCUGGUCUGAGAGGAUGAACAGCCACAUUGGAACUGAGACACGGUCCAAACUCCUACGGGAGGCAGCAGUGGGGAAUUUUCCGCAAUGGACGAAAGUCUGACGGAGCGACGCUGCGUGAAGGAUGACGGCCCGCGGGUUGUAAACUUCUUUUCUCGAAGAAGAAGCUCUGACGGUAUUCGAGGAAUAAGCAUCGGCUAACUCCGUGCCAGCAGCCGCGGUAAG